rnacentral:rRNA from 1 species
AUUGAACGCUGGCGGCAUGCCUUACACAUGCAAGUCGAACGGUAACAGGUCUUCGGAUGCUGACGAGUGGCGAACGGGUGAGUAAUACAUCGGAACGUGCCUAGUAGUGGGGGAUAACUACUCGAAAGAGUGGCUAAUACCGCAUGAGAUCUACGGACGAAAGCAGGGGAUCGCAAGACCUUGUGCUACUAGAGCGGCCGAUGGCAGAUUAGGUAGUUGGUGGGAUAAAAGCUUACCAAGCCGACGAUCUGUAGCUGGUCUGAGAGGACGAUCAGCCACACUGGGACUGAGACACGGCCCAGACUCCUACGGGAGGCAGCAGUGGGGAAUUUUGGACAAGGGGCGGAAGCCUGAUCCAGCAAUGCCGCGUGCAGGAUGAAGGCCUUCGGGUUGUAAACUGCUUUUGUACGGAACGAAAAGCCCCGGGUUAAUACCCUGGGGUCAUGACGGUACCGUAAGAAUAAGCACCGGCUAACUACGUGCCAGCAGCCGCAGUAA